GGGCCCUAAAAGCAUGGAAACGUUGUACACUGCUAUGACCAAUAAGCAUACCAGUCAAUUUACUUCACAAAUAGUAAGGUAACUAGCUAACAGCCAUGGAAGAGAGUGAACGGAUAGCUGCUCCAACUGUCAAAGAAGGUAGAGUAGGCUAUUCUGGAUAGGGCAGGUACUGUUGUGUAGUUCCACUCCAUAGAAAGAAGUGAGGACAGAGAAUUGUAACAUAAUAUUCAGUGCAGUCUAAUUUUAGUAUAAUGAAGUCUGUUUUCUGCCCUCAGAUACAGAGCUGUGAAACCCUGUCUGCAGAUGAAGAGCCCCCCACGGGGGGCCAGCACAGACAACAACAAAAAAAUAAUGAAAUGUAUGCAUUCACUACUGUAAGUCGCUCUGGAUAAGAGCGUCUGCUAAAUGACAAAAAAAAAAAAAGAGCAAUGGUUCCCAGUCCUGUUCCUGGGGUCUCAAAGGGGUGCACAUUUUUAUUUUUGCCUUAGCGCUGCACAGCUGAUUCAAAUGAUCAAGUCAUCAUCAAGCUUCAAGUGAUGCCUUGCGACUUUCUUCAAAACGAUUGCCUACAGUUACUGUGUAGGGCACUGCACAGUUGGGUGGCAAGGGCCAUCUGGGACUGUCUCGUGGGGAUUUCAGGCAUCUGUGAAGGCUACCUGUGUCCUGCAUAACUUCAUGAUGAUGAACAGGAGGGGAUCUGCAGCUCUCCUACAUGUGCCAGAGGAGAGGUCUGCUGCUCUGCAGGAUGUUGCCAGGAUGGGGGCCAACAAUGCAGCACAGGAGGCAAUCUGUGUGCGGGAGACCUUCACCUCCUACUUCUUCGAAGAGGAUGCUGUUCCCUGGCAACACCAGAGUACACUAUGCAAAACCAAAGGCUCUUUUAAGAGCCAUCCACAUUGCAAUAAGAGUAUUCUUCCAUUUACUUAGCUAUAUGAACUGCAGUUAUUCAAUAAGUCUCUAAGUCUCCUUCACUCCAUCCCUCGCGCCCCUUCUCCCGUAAUCCUCUAGGUUAUAUCAGCUGUGUUGGUGAACCCCUCCUGUAUCUGAACUGGCUACAUAGAGGGCACAGCAUGAUCAGAGGUAUGUUUUGAUGUGAGAGAGGAUGACAACCCCCAGUCCCAUCAUCGCCACCUCACCCACCGUUAAGAUAAACUUCAUGCCAACUUGGGGCCCAAGGCUGGUUAGGAGACACUUAUGUAAUUAAGUUUAGUAGCACUGUAAUCCUUCCCUGCUCCUCUGUUCUUACCUCUUUCUCUUUUACACUCACACCUCUCUCCCCACAUUUCUUCCACUGUUUUUAUGUGUACCAGCUGUGCAUUGAAGUACAGAUUGUACUAAUAUUUUUAAAUAAUAUUACAAUUAUAACUUAAUUAUAACACUUGGAUAAUGAACUUCUUUCAAUAAAGUGUUCCACAUUC